UUAUGCUGAUAAGAGCGUAUGGUGGAUGCCUUGGCACUAAGAGCCGAUGAAAGACGUGAUAAGCUGCGAAAAGCUUCGGGGAGGAGCAAAUAUCCUUUGAUCCGGAGAUAUCUGAAUGGGGAAACCCGGCUGAGUAAUCCUCAGUCACUGUAUGGUAAAUACAUAGCCAUACAGAGGGAACCCGGUGAACUGAAACAUCUAAGUAGCCGGAGGAAGAGAAAGAAACAUCGAUUCCGGAAGUAGCGGCGAGCGAACCCGGAAGAGCCCAAACCAGCGUGCGUGCAUGCUGGGGUUAAGGACUGCAUAAGUGAGCCGAUCUGUUAAUGGAACUGCCUGGGAAGGCAGGCCAGAGAGGGUGAAAGCCCCGUACAUGAAAACGGUAGGCAGCGGCAGGAUCCAGAGUACCGCGAGACACGAGAAACCUUGCGGGAAGUCGGAGGGACCACCCUCCAAGGCUAAAUACUCCUUAGUGACCGAUAGCGCAUAGUACUGUGAAGGAAAGGUGAAAAGGACCCCGGGAGGGGAGUGAAAGAGAACCUGAAACCCUGUGUUUACAAGCUGUGGAAGAUCUUUAUAUGAUCAACCGCGUACUUUUUGUAGAACGGUCCGGCGAGUUACGCGUACUGGCGAGGUUAAGCACUUCAGGUGUGGAGCCGAAGCGAAAGCGAGUUUUAAUAGGGCGUUAAGUCAGUACGAGUAGACCCGAAACCGGGUGAUCUAUCCAUGUCCAGGUUGAAGUUGUCGUAAAAGACAAUGGAGGACCGAAGCCACAUCCGUUGAAAAGGGUGGGCAUGAGGUGUGGAUAGGGGAGAAAUUCCAAUCGAACCCGGAGAUAGCUGGUUCUCCUCGAAAUAGCUUUAGGGCUAGCCCCGUAUUAGUUUAGCGGAGGUAGAGCACUGAAUUCCUAAGGGGGCGUCAAAGCUUACCAAGGGAUAUCAAACUCCGAAUGCCGCAUAAAUGAUGUACGGGAGUCAGACUGCACGAGAUAAGUUGGGCAGUCAAAAGGGAAAGAGCCCAGACCUACAGCUAAGGUCCCAAAGUGUGUGUUAAGUGGAAAAGGAUGUGGGAUUUCAGAGACAACUAGGAUGUUGGCUUAGAAGCAGCCACACAUUCAAAGAGUGCGUAAUAGCUCACUAGUCGAGAGGUCCUGCGCCGAAAAUGUCCGGGGCUGAAACACAACACCGAAGCUCAGGAAUGUAUUUAUACAUUGGUAGAGGAGCAUUCUUAAAGGGGCGAAGCAGUACCGAUAAGGAGCUGUGGACUUUUAAGAAGAGAGAAUGCCGGAAUGAGUAGCGAGAUGGAGGUGGGAAUCCUCCAGGCCGAAUAUCCAAGGUUUCCAGAGUAAAGCUGAUCUGCUCUGGGUAAGUCGGGGCCUAAGGUAAGGCUGAGAAGCGUAGCCGAUGGACAACAGGUUGAGAUUCCUGUACCGCGUAUCAUCAGAACUGUGGGGACACAGAAGGACAGCACAUCCCGGGAAUGGAAAGACCGGGGCAAGCAGGGUAGGAGUUAAGCUGGCAAAUCCGCUUAACAAUCCGAAGCUGUGAUGCGGAGCGAAUUUAAGUAGCGAAGUGUGCGAUUCCGGCUGUCAAGAAAAGCCGCUAUUGUGUGAUACGUGCCCGUACCGUAAACCGACACAGGUAGAUGAGGAGAGAAUCCUAAGGCCGGCGGGAGAAGCAUUGUUAAGGAACUCGGCAAAAUGACCCUGUAACUUCGGGAGAAAGGGUGCCUGGGAAACCAGGCCGCAGAGAAUAGGCUCAAGCAACUGUUUAGCAAAAACACAGGUCUAUGCAAAACCGUAAGGUGAGGUAUAUGGGCUGACGCCUGCCCGGUGCUGGAAGGUUAAGAGGAGGGGUUAGCGCAAGCGAAGCUCUGAAUUGAAGCCCCAGUAAACGGCGGCCGUAACUAUAACGGUCCUAAGGUAGCGAAAUUCCUUGUCGGGUAAGUUCCGACCCGCACGAAAGGCGUAAUGAUUUGAGCACUGUCUCGACAAUGCAUCCGGUGAAAUUGAAGUACCAGUGAAGAUGCUGGUUACCCGCGCCAGGACGGAAAGACCCCAUGGAGCUUUACUCCAGUUUGAUACUGGGAUUCGGUACUGCACGUACAGGAUAGGUGGGAGACUGAGAACUAUGAACGCCAGUUUGUAGGGAGUCGCUGUUGGGAUACCACCCCUGUAGUACUGGGUUUCUAACCAGUCACCGUGAUCCGGUGAUGGGACAAUGUCAGGCGGGGAGUUUGACUGGGGCGGUCGCCUCCGAAAGGGUAUCGGAGGCGCUCAAAGGUUCCCUCAUAAUGGUUGGAAACCAUUAGAAGAGUGCAAAGGCAUAAGGGAGCUUGACUGCGACACCGACGGGUGACGCCCCUUCACCCCGCCCCCCGUUGCCCCAUCCGCGGUUUUUCCGAUAUUUCCCCCAUCAUGAAAACCGGCCCAAUAAAAAACCCGGCUUCCUUGCGGAAAGCCGGGUAUGGGAAAAAUGCCUCAGGGAAGAAGUUUUGGCGGGCGCCCUUCAAAAAUCCCGCGCUGAGGAACGAAAAUGCGGUCAUUGGGCUGGAUGGGAAUCGCCCUGUCUUUAAUGGAAAAAUAAUCAUACGUCACGGUUUUUCCACCGCGCGUCACCUGCACGUAGCGGGAUCCCCAGUCCGUGAUGUCGCCGGCGCCCACAAUCGCCUCCAGAAGCGUCAUGCCGCGCCGCCACAAAACAUUCUUCUUCAUAGCUACACCGCCGCUUACCAGAACGAU
rnacentral:rRNA from 1 species